GAAAGUAAGCAAGGGCAGACGGUGGAUGCCUUGGCUCUCGGAGGCGACGAAGGACGUGAUAAGCUGCGAAAAGCCCGGGGGAGGCGCAAAUAGCCCUUGAUCCCGGGAUAUCCGAAUGGGGCAACCCGGCAGGCUGAAGGCCUGCCAUCCCGAAAGGGAGGCGAACGUGGGGAACUGAAACAUCUAAGUACCCAUAGGAGGAGAAAAUAAACAAUGAUUCCGUAAGUAGUGGCGAGCGAACACGGAAGAGCCCAAACCCAUGUCGUCUAGGCGACACGGGGGUUGUAGGACCACGACGUGGCAAGAUAGAGUCAAGUGGAACGCCUUGGAAAGGGCGACCGUAGAGGGUGAUAGUCCCGUACACGACUGACGAUUGAAGCCUAGUGGUAUCCUGAGUAGCGCGGGGCACGAGAAAUCUUGCGUGAAACAGCGGGGCCCAUCCCGUAAGGCUAAAUACUCCCGAGAGACCGAUAGCGAACCAGUACCGUGAGGGAAAGGUGAAAAGAACCCCGAGCAGGGGAGUGAAAUAGACCCUGAACCCGUCUGCCUACAAGCGGUCGGAGCGUCGUAAUGACGUGACGGCGUGCCUUUUGCAUAAUGAACCUACGAGUUACCUUCCCCGGCAAGGUUAAGUUCUUGAGGAACGGAGCCGAAGCGAAAGCGAGUCUGAACAGGGCGCCAAGUCGGGGGGGGUAGACGCGAAACCGAGUGAUCUACCCUUGGCCAGGUUGAAGGUUGGGUAACACCAACUGGAGGACCGGAUGGGUAAGCGUUGAAAAGCUUUCCAAUGAGCUGAGGGUAGGGGUGAAAGGCUAAUCAAACUCGGAGAUAGCUCGUACUCCCCGAAAUGCAUUUAGGUGCAGCCUCUUUAUAGUAUAUCGUGAGGUAGAGCGACUGAUUGGAUGCGAGGGCUUCACCGCCUAUCAAGUCCAGAUAAACUCCGAAUGCGCGAUAUAUAUUUACAGGGAGUGAGGGCGCGGGUGCUAAGGUCCGUGUCCGAGAGGAGAAGAAUCCAGACCACCGGCUAAGGCCCCCAAAUGAUCGUUAAGUUGAACUAACGAGGUCGGAUCGCAGAGACAGCUAGGAUGUUGGCUUGGAAGCAGCCAUUCAUUUAAAGAGUGCGUAACAGCUCACUAGUCGAGCGAUCUGGCGUGGAUAAUAAUCGGGCAUAAACGAUCUGCCGAAGCCGUGGAUGUCGCAAGACAUGGUAGGGGAGCAUUCCAUGCCGCGUCGAAGAUGAGGGAUGACCCUUGUUGGAGCGCAUGGAAAAGCAAAUGUAGGUAUGAGUAACGAUAAGGGGGGCGAGAAACCCCCCCGCCGAAAGACCAAGGUUUCCUGAUCAACGCUAAUCGGAUCAGGGUGAGUCGGGACCUAAGGCAAAGCCGAACGGCGCCGCCGAUGGAAGAAUGGGUUAAUAUUCCCAUACUGCCUCAUGGAGUGACGUGGAGACGGAGAAGUGACAGUCCUGCCGGCUGACGGAAUAGCCGGUUGAAGGGUGUAGAUAUUGAUUCCCGUAGGCAAAUCCGCGGGGAGAGUCGAACCUGAGAGUAUACGGAGCGCUUGCGCAACGUAAUAUGGACGUAACCAUGCUCCCGAGAAAAUCCGCUAAACUUAUCCAUGCGGCACCCGUACCGUAAACGGACACACGUGGUCGGGUUGAGAAUACUGAGGCGCUCGAGUGAUUCACGGUUAAGGAACUAGGCAAAUUGACCCUGUAACUUCGGGAUAAAGGGUCCUCGUCGUAAGGCGAGGCGCAGAGAAUAGGUCCAGGCAACUGUUUAACAAAAACACAUGGCUGUGCUAAAUGGAAACAUGAUGUAUACAGCCUGACACCUGCCCGGUGCCGGAAGGUUAAGAGGAGAUGUCAUCCGCGAGGAGAAGCGUUGAAUUGAAGCCCCGGUAAACGGCGGCCGUAACUAUAACGGUCCUAAGGUAGCGAAAUUCCUUGUCGGGUAAGUUC
rnacentral:rRNA from 1 species